rnacentral:lncRNA from 1 species
CUUAUCAGUGCCUUUUUAAAUGAAUAAUACAGUGACCUUCAGCUUUGUCCUAUAUUAUGUGAGGUUGAUUCGUAAAGACUGCUUUAGUUUUUUAAAUUAAGGCAGAAGCUAUAUGUAUUCUACUCAAUUCUAGCAUUAGUGCUGUCCCAAGAGUGGCAUUUAUGUUCUUUUGCUUCUUUGGUAUAAAUAAAUAUCAAAGUAGGAAGACCAGUGUGAAUUCUACAAGGAAUAAUAAACUAAAAUAAUAU